GCCAACACCGCGCCAGCAGCGGCGGUAAGACGGGGGGGGCAAGCGUGACUCGGAAUCACUGGGCGUAAAGAGCGUGUAUGCGGGUAUAUAAGUCAGAAGUGAAAUCCAAUAGCUCAACUAAUGAACUGCUUUUGAAACUGUAUACCUAGAAUGUGGGAGAGGUAGAUGGAAUUUCUGGUGUAGGGGUAAAAUCCGUAGAGAUCAGAAGGAAUACCGAUUGCGAAGGCGAUCUACUGGAACAUUAUUGACGCUGAGACGCGAAAGCGUGGGGAGCAAACAGGAUUAGAUACCCCGGUAGUC
rnacentral:rRNA from 1 species